rnacentral:rRNA from 1 species
AUGUCUUGCCGCCUGGGCUCCUUCCCCACAACCUACCUGGGAAUGCCCAUUAGUGACUCUCGGCUUACCGUUGCUGAUUUGCGUCCGACGGUGGCCAAGUUGCAAACGUGCAUUGAGUCUUGGCAAGGUCGGUGGCUGUCGAAGGCCGCCCGGAUGAUUCUCAUCAACUCCUCGCUCGCCAGUCUUCUCUUGUUCCUCAUGAGCUUCUACAGCCUUCACGAGACGCUCCACCAUGAGAUCGCCAAGAUCCAAUUCGGCUUCUAUUGGGCCGGGGACAAUAACAAAUAGAAAUAUCAUAUGGUUAGGUGGCCCGACAUUUGCAAGCCCCGGGAACAAGGUGGCCUCGGUAUCAUGUGCUCGAAGCGCAUGAAUAUUGCCCUCCUUUCCCGCUGGCUCUGGCGCAUCUCGCAAGGGCACGGAGGGCUAUGGUUAGACAUCAUCCGGAACAAAUACCUGCGUGGCCAACCUCUGGCCUUCUGUCAUAGGUCCGGUGGAUCCCAGUUCUGGCAGUCAGUCAUCCAACUGCUCCCCGUCCUCCGCAUUGAGACUUCCAUAUCGGUCGGAUCGGGAUAA